rnacentral:misc_RNA from 1 species
CAGAGGUUUCCAGGCAGGCUG